GAUGUAUAGCGAAAGCUGGUUGUAUUAACUNAUAGNUAGUGCAGCAUCGACUAUGUCGAAUAAAGUUCUAGAUAGAGUUAUGAUAAUGACAUUUUCUAUCUAUGUGUCUCGACCAAAUCACGUGCCAGCAGUCGCGGUAAUACGUGGGAGACUAGUGUUAUUCAUCUUUAAUUGGUUUAAAGGGUACCUAGACGGUUCAUCAAGCCCCNAAAGGGUACUAAUGGACUAGAGUUUUAUGAGAGGGGGGGUGUACAUGAGAGUGGAGAGAUGAAAUACUGUCAUACCUUAUNUGAUACAGGCAACAGCGAAAGCAACCUUUUAUGUAAAAACUGACGUUGAAGGACGAAGGCUUAGUAUAACCAACAGGAUUAGAUACCCCAGCAGUCUUUGCAGACAAUGAUGAAUGUCAUAGAUUGGAAUUAAGUAUUUUUUUAUAAAAAUAUANUUUUAUCUAUAAAUGAAAGUGUAAGCAUUCCNCCUCAAGAGUAAUGUGGCAACGCANAAACUGAAAUCAUUANACCGUUUCUGAAACCAGUAGUGAAGUAUGUUAUUUAAUUUGUUGGCCC
rnacentral:rRNA from 1 species